GACGAACGCUGGCGGCGUGCUUAACACAUGCAAGUCGAACGGUGAAGCCCUUCGGGGUGGAUCAGUGGCGAACGGGUGAGUAACACGUGGGCAAUCUGCCCUGGAUUCUGGGAUAACACCGGGAAACCGGUGCUAAUACCGGAUAUGACCCCUGCCCGCAUGGGUGGGGGUGGAAAGCUCCGGCGAUCCGGGAUGAGCCCGCGGCCUAUCAGCUUGUUGGUGGGGUGAUGGCCUACCAAGGCGACGACGGGUAGCCGGCCUGAGAGGGCGACCGGCCACACUGGGACUGAGACACGGCCCAGACUCCUACGGGAGGCAGCAGUGGGGAAUAUUGCACAAUGGGCGCAAGCCUGAUGCAGCGACGCCGCGUGGGGGAUGACGGCCUUCGGGUUGUAAACCUCUUUCAGCAGGGAAGAAGCCUUCGGGUGACGGUACCUGCAGAAGAAGCACCGGCUAACUACGUGCCAGCCGCCGCCGUAACAC
rnacentral:rRNA from 1 species